AAACAAAGAACAGAAAAUCAAAAUAUAUACCAAGGAGAUUGCUAAUAGGUUUCAUACUUAUCACAGCAUAUUGUUGAAACUUAUUUGAAAUACUGGAGGACCCAGUCAAUAAACUGAUUGAGUACCUGAUUUAUAAACAGCUCUGGCCAAAGUGCUCAGAAAAAAAAAAAGAAAGAAA